GGCGGGAUGGCCGAGUGGUCUAAGGCGCUGCGUUUAGGUAACUAAACACUUUCCGCAGUGGGAAACCGCGCGAGUUCGAAUCUCGCUUCCGUCA